rfam:Triticum aestivum genome assembly, contig: Triticum_aestivum_CS42_TGACv1_scaffold_092926_2AL
AAUAUACUCCCUCCGUCCUGAAAUACUUGUCGAAGAAAUGCAUAAAAAUAAAUGUAUCUAGAAUUAAAGUACGUCUAGAUACAUCCAUUCCUCCGACAAGUAUUUCCGAACGAAGGGAGUAUAAU